rnacentral:lncRNA from 1 species
AUUAAAAAGAAAACCACCAAGUGUUGGUUCCAAUAGUUCUUGUUAGCAGAUAAAAGGGAAGGAAACAUCGAACUGCGAUAUUUGUCAUAAAGUUUUAGUUAUUAAAAUCUAUAUAUUAUGGCAGGGGGUGUAGUGGAGACAUCUGGGUUCUUCAUAGUUGGUGAUUGUGUUUGCGCAUACACGCACAAGAACACGCUGAUUACCCAGACCUGACGCUUAGGGGAGGAGCAGAGUCCCCCCAGGUGGCUGCAAUGCAUGCCUGACUCCCCCCACACCUUUGCCCAAUUUUCAGGGAAGCCGAGUCCUUAACUCCCUGGCACGACCCAUAAUUCCUCCACCUAGGUAGCUGCCUGAGGAGUUGGGAAGAGGUCGUCCACCAGCUCGAGUUUUUGACUCAGGAAUAAAAGCUGUGGGUUCCAGUGUUCUUUGGAAAGUUUCUGCAUAAAUGGCCAGGUGGCAGAACUUUGCAGAUUUUGCCAUAGCUCAAGAAAAUAACUAUUACUACUACUGGCAAAGAGAGAAGCCUGAGCUCCAACCUGACCAGGGUUACGGCUGUGGCAUCUGGUAUGAGCAGCCAUGGGGCUCUUACACUCCAUCCAGGUACAGCUACAGCUGCGCAGUGGCUGGAAAUGGACCUCAGCCUUUUAUGUACAAGGUGGCCGUACACUCAGCUGGGACUUCAGUGAUUCUCCAGGAAGCCAAGCUGAAAACCAACUUUCCAGCUGAAGGCCAAGAUGAAGACUCACUAGAAGAUCCAAAUCUCCCUUUGAAUAUUGAGGAAUUAAACAAGGAGUUCAUGGCACAAAGUGAAGAGCUCUACGACUCUCUCAUGGAUUGUCACUGGCAGCCCCUGGACACAGUGCACUCUGACAUCCCCGAUCAGACCCCAAAGUGA